rnacentral:rRNA from 1 species
AAACUUUCAACAACGGAUCUCUUGGCUCUGGCAUCGAUGAAGAACGCANCGAAAUGCGAUAAGUAAUGUGAAUUGCAGAAUUUAGUGAAUCAUCGAAUCUUUGAACGCACAUUGCGCCCCUUGGUAUUCCGAGGGGCAUGCCUGUUCGAGCGUC